ensembl:lncRNA
AUGGAAAGAAGGAAGUGUCUGUUCUCUGGCCCCAGAGCUUCUGAUAGAGAAAUAGGAAGUCACGUCGAGGAACUUCCGAGGGCGGGCAUAUACAGCAGCCAUUUUGUAAGCAAGAUGGCGGAAAGUUUAACCGGGACAUCCAGUGGACAAAAAGCAUAUAAGCCACUAAAUGAUCAGCUUGAAGAGUUAAACAAAGCCAUCCACAUGGCCUGCACAAAAACAACUAAAGUAGCAGACAAAGAAUUUAGGGCUGUAAGGAAACGUGUUGAGAAAUUAUGUGCUGCUCAGCAAAGAACUUUGCAAGAUAGACAACCUCUUCUCCUGAUUUUUGAAGAGGAAAGGGAGAACUGUGCAAAAAGAUUACAGCAAUUGCAGCAGGAAACAUUAACACAUGCGAUAAACAGACACACCAAAGCAGAAAUAAAACUCUUAAAGGAAACUCACGCAAAACUCUGUAGAUGGAUAAUAAUGUGUAAAGGGAUUUCAGCUUGGAUGAAAGAGGAUGAGGCUCAAGCUCAAGAGGUAAGUUCACCUCUCUCACAACAGGAAAAGAAACCAGAAAACGUAGAACAGGUGCUCACCAUGAUGAAAUCUUUUCAGGAAUUGCAGCAGGAAAAUAAGAAACUGGAAGGACAAAUACAUUUGCUGAACACAGCAAGGGAGAAACUGGAGCAUGCGCAUGCGAAGCUAGCACUGCCUUCCAACCCUCUCCCCACCUCUUCUGAAUUACUAGGAGACACACUGCCACCACACCCACCUCAAUCACCAGUAGACUCUUUGCAACCGUUCCAUCCUUGGGUCGUUCAGGCGCCAUCUGCUCCGCCCCCUCCUUAUGUUUUCCCCAUAAUGUCUUUAGCAGGAGGAGAGAUCAGAGGGCCACAAGGACAAAAGGGCGCAGUAAUUGGAGGUUUUGCAGAUGUUGUACACAUUACUCCUGCAGCAGCAGCAGGUCAGCAACCUAGCGCACAGCCCAGGGCGGUACAGCCUAUGGGUAUGGGAGGAGCAGCUUCAGCUAAGGCUGGAGCCUCAACUUCAUCUCCCAAGUCUGUAGAUUUUAUGGAGUUUGAUCCAUUAAAAACACAAGGGGAACCUGGAGCUGAGGAUCACCCAAGUGUGAACCCAGCUACCGGUCAGGAAGAGUUGAAAAAAGGAAUCUCUGUUACCCCCUCAACAGGUGGGACGGCCUCACCACCAGCCGAUGAGGUUCGGAGGCUGGAGUUUACUCCAUUGCCUACCCCAGCUAGAAAAGAACAGCCCCAGCCAGUAAAGACAGCUGGGAUCGAAAAGCCUCAGUGGAUAGGGGAAGUUUAUGGAGAAGUGCAAGCUGAUAAAGAUGCUCUGGCAGAUAUUCUGCGAAGAGUAAUCAAAGUAGAAGAGAGAGUAAAGAAAGAAAACUUGGCUGUCUUUGAUGAAGAAGAUGAGAUAGAGGAAGAGAAUGAGCCAGACUGUGUGGAAGGUUGUGAAGCUCGACCAGACACCAAAAUGGCAGGAAUGAAGUUGCGAUCACAGAAAACUGUGUAUCGGACGGAAAAACCGAAACAAAAGCUGGUGAGCCAGGAUAAGACUAUAGCAGGGCGAGAAAAACGACAGUCUAUGUUCAGAAAAUAUAAUCUGCUGAAGCCUGAAGAAAAGGAAGUGCACUUCAAGAAUAGCUUAGAUAACCUAGAAUGGGAGAUGCCCUUAAUGUGUGGAGCAAAGCAGGAACCAGUGUAUCGUUCAUACAAGAUGAGGGAUUUGGAGGCCCUAGUUCAGCAGCUGCCCCCUAUAACAGAGGGAGGAGCAGCGUGGUUAAGGAAGUUAAGAACCUUAACAGAAGGGGACGAACUUGCGAUGGGCGACUUUAGAGCCAUUGCAGGGAGAACUAUGAUAGCUGGAGGUCUAGCAGACGUGGAAGAAAUUGCUAAAACUACCACUCUUCCAAAUGAUGUGCCAUAUAGUAGAGUAGAAGAUAAGCUAGCUGACGCAGUUCGUGAAAAAUACAUAACUCCAAAUGUAGGUUCAAUACCAAAAAUAACUUGGGAUCCAAAAUACACUCCCAGAGAAUUUUUAGAAAAAGCUAAGGAACAGUGGAUGUCACAAACUGGCAUACAUCCAGGUCAAGAAGGUAAGAACAGAGCUUGGUUCCGUGCCGCGGUACUGAAGGGGCUGCCAGAUAAAGUAACAACUGAUUUAGAAAAGAAUCCAGAUUUUGCAGUAGCAGACUCCACCCAGUGGGAGCGGCAUGUGACACAUCGGUUACAGUUGGAACAAGAUACGGUAAACAAACAAAAGAAGGAGUUAGAAGAAGCACAGGCGCAACUGCUAAAAUUACAGUUGAAUGAAGCUCGUGAGAAGAAUAGUGCUAAGAAAAAGGAGAAAGAGGUUAGUAAACCUAUGAUGGUGGUUCAGCCCCAGGCUGAUCCAGCGCCCGAGCAACCAGAGCGUGCUCCCAGUUCUUAUCCUGGUGACCGUGAAAUACCAAGGCAAAGACGCACAGGUAGAAAUCGGGGGGCCAACCGUUCACAGAGGGGACGUGGUGGACUCUGGCGACCAGACCCUGGAGCUCGUGGUUCAGGGAAUCCCAGAACGAAUUCAUGGAAUGUCUGCUACCAAUGUGGAAGAGAGGGGCACUGGGCUCGAGAAUGCCGUGAGUUGCCCCGAAGCUAUGAACAAAGAGAUUACCAGGCAUGGGAGGCCCAGAGAGGCAGAGGCGGUUACCAAGACAGACAUCAAGCUCCCAAUCCAAGUGUUGCGCCGCGGUCUCAGUAUCCAGUGGGAGACUAG